rnacentral:rRNA from 1 species
AAAAUGCAUAGACUUAUUGCUGCGGUUAAAAAGCUCGUAGUUGGAUCUGUGCUGGGAACUGGGUCCUCCUUCGGGUGUGCACUCAGCUUCCCGGCUUUUUGCUGGUUUUCCCGUUGUGGCCUUUACCGGUUGCAGCGGGUGGCUGGCGAGUUUACCUUGAAGAAAUCAAAGUGCUUAAUACAGGCGAUUUGCUUGAAUGUGGUGCAUGGAAUAAUAGAAAAGGAUUUCGGUUCUCUUUUAUUGGUUUUACGAGCUGAGAUAAUGGUUAACAGAGACAAACGGGGGCAUUCGUAUCGGUGCGUGAGAGGUGAAAUUCUUGGACCGCAGCGAGACGAACUACAG